AUCGGGAUAACACCUAGGAAACAGAUGUACUAAUACCGGAUAACAACAGAUGAUGCCUAUCAACUGUUUAAAAGAUGGUUCUGCUAUCACUCUUGGAUGGACCUGCGGUGCAUUAGCUAGUUGGUAGGGUAACGGCCUACCAAGGCGAUGAUGCAUAGCCGAGUUGAGAGACUGAUCGGCCACAUUGGGACUGAGACACGGCCCAAACUCCUACGGGAGGCAGCAGAC
rnacentral:rRNA from 1 species